UACAGAGGGUGCUAGCGUUGUUCGGAAUUACUGGGCGUAAAGGGCGCGUAGGCGGCUUGCUAAGUGAGAUGUGAAAUCUCGGGGCUUAACUCCGAAAGUGCAUUUCAAACUGACAAGCUAGAGUGCAGUAGAGGUUGGUGGAAUUCCCAGUGUAGAGGUGAAAUUCGUAGAUAUUGGGAGGAACACCGGUGGCGAAGGCGGCCAACUGGGCUGCAACUGACGCUGAGGCGCGAAAGCGUGGGGAUCAAACAGG
rnacentral:rRNA from 1 species